AUGAUCCUGGUGCCACCAGGGGGAGGCUGUGCCUGCCUGAAGGGGUGCCCUGUGUGUGGCAGGGAUGGAGGUGUACCCGUCCCGCACGCAGCUGCCGGAGCUGCUGCCACAGCCGGUGCUGGCAGGGGUCAUUGGUGGGAUCUGCUUCCUCAGCGUGGCCGUCAUCUUCAGCACCAUGGCCGCCUGCAUCAUGAACCGGCGCCGCGCCGCGCGCGUCCGCAAGCGCCGCCAAGAUCCACCACUCGUCUUCUCCCCCAGCAAGAAGCUUCCACCUCCACAGUAAGUCACGUCAUUGCCACGCUCCCUGCUUGUCCUGCCGUGUCACUGCCAUGGUCCUUCCAUCCCACUCCCUCCCUGUCCUAUUCCCACCAUGCCACAUUCCCUCCCUGUCCUGCCAUGCCAUGCCAUGCCAUGCCAUGCCAUGCCACACUCCCUCCCUGUCCCUCUCUUGCCAUGCCAUGCUCCUCCACAUCCCAUUCCCUCCCUAUCCCACCCCUGGCCAUGCCACACUCCCCCCCCUCUCCAUGUCAUGCUCCCCUCCAUCCCUUUUCCUCCCUGUCCCACUUCUGGCUAUGCCUCUCCCUGUCCCAUCCCACUGCGCUCCUCAUCAUCCCUCUGCCACCAGCUGUGGGGGCACAGGGACAAGCUGGGGACAGCCCCGCCCUGCCCAAGGGCGUUAGGAGCGAGGUGCUGCCCUCGCGAGCUCCCUCCGGGCAGUUUUGGCUGCAGAAAAGCUCAGGAAAUGCAGGAGCAGCACGGCUGGGGGUGCUGCAGCUGCUGCCUCUCCCCUGCAGCAAUGCUCGUGGCCCUGGUAGCCCCGCCAGCACGGUGAAGCUGAAGCUGCAGCCGUCGCCGUGCCGGAGCCUGCACCGGAGCCUGCUGUGGGGUGAAAAGGCCGGCACCAGCCUGGGGCUGAGCAUCGCCGGCUCCCGUUACCCCGCCUACGAGAGCCACGGCCGGGAGCACCGGGAGCACGUGCCGCUGGAGCGCAUCUGCCGCGGCCCCGACGGCCGCUUCGUGCUGGAGAGCGACUCGCAGCCGGAGCCCCCGCGGGACCCCGCUGCAGCCCUACCGCCAGCUGCCCGCCGGGGAGCAGGAGGAGGACGAGGAGGACGAGGAUGA
rnacentral:lncRNA from 1 species